rnacentral:rRNA from 1 species
CACUCCUACGGGAGGCAGCAGUGGGGAAUAUUGGACAAUGGGCGCAAGCCUGAUCCAGCCAUGCCGCGUGAGUGAUGAAGGCCCUAGGGUUGUAAAGCUCUUUCACCGGUGAAGAUAAUGACGGUAACCGGAGAAGAAGCCCCGGCUAACUUCGUGCCAGCAGCCGCGGUAAUACGAAGGGGGCUAGCGUUGUUCGGAUUUACUGGGCGUAAAGCGCACGUAGGCGGACUAUUAAGUCAGGGGUGAAAUCCCGGGGCUCAACCCCGGAACUGCCUUUGAUACUGGUAGUCUUGAGUUCGAGAGAGGUGAGUGGAAUUCCGAGUGGAGAGGUGAAAUUCGUAGAUAUUCGGAGGAACACCAGUGGCGAAGGCGGCUCACUGGCUCGAUACUGACGCUGAGGUGCGAAAGCGUGGGGAGCAAACAGGAUUAGAUACCCCUGUAGUCCCA